CAAUAGCGUAUAUUAAAGUUGUUGCGGUUAAAAAGCUCGUAGUUGGAUUUCUGCUGAGGAUGACCGGCCCGCCCUCCGGGUGAGUAUCUGGCUCAGCCUUGGCAUCUUCCUGAAGAACGUAACUGCACUUGACUGUGUGGUGCGGUAUUUAGGACAUUUACUUUGAGGAAAUUAGAGUGUUUCAAGCAAGCGCACGCCUUGAAUACAUUAGCAUGGAAUAAUAAGAUAGGACCUCGGUUCUAUUUUGUUGGUUCCUAGAGCUGAGGUAAUGAUUGAUAGGGAUAGUUGGGGGCAUUCGUAUUUAACUGUCAGAGGUGAAACUCUUGGAUUUGUUAAAGACGGACUACUGCGAAAGCAUUUGCCAAGGAUGUUUUCAUUGA
rnacentral:rRNA from 1 species